rnacentral:rRNA from 1 species
UACAGAGGGUGCAAGCGUUGUUCGGAAUUACUGGGCGUAAAGCGCGUGUAGGCGGUUUGCCCAAGUCGGGUGUGAAAGCCUUGAGCUCAACUCAAGAAAUGCACUCGGUACUGGGUGACUAGAGGACCGGAGAGGAUAGUGGAAUUCCCAGUGUAGUGGUGAAAUACGUAGAGAUUGGGAAGAACACCAGUGGCGAAAGGCGGCUAUCUGGACGGUUUU